rnacentral:snRNA from 1 species
AUACUUACCUGACAGGGGGAAUACCAUGAUCACAAAAGUGUUUUACCAGGAAAAGUCUUAUCCAUUGCACUCCGAGUGUGCCAAUCCCUGCAAUUUCUCCAAAUGUGUGAAACUCUAUUGCAUAAUUUUGGAGUGGGGGACUGUGUUCAUGCUCUCCCUAA